AUGACAUUGAGCGGAGAACAUCAUGAUGGUGCUGGUUCCACCCCAGGGCAGGAAGUAGAACAGUAGUUGGCAUGCCGUGUAGAUGUACUAUCAUUAUCUGCCUCUGUAAUUGGAUAGAAGACCAGUAGUAGUUGUCUUUUGAUCCAUUAUUCAUUGGCAAUGCAAUAAUUAUGCAUUCAAAGCAUCAAAUUGAUUUAAUAUUGGCAUAUAAUUAUAAAUAGAUUUAAAUACAUUAGAAAGAGAACUGUUUCAAUUUCCAAGAAACAAAUGUUACUUGUUUUACACAAGCUGAACAGGAUUAAACAAAAUAACCUGUAUUAUGAAAAUCAGGUGAUCAGAGAACAAAUAUAAAAUAAUGGUUCAUACACUAAUAAUAAUUAUCUUGUCUUUUUAGACUUCUAAAGCUAUACAGAUCCACUUUGGGAACUGGAAACCCUUAAAGCUCACCUUCACCUGGAAAUGAGAGAAUGGGUAUAUGGUCUCGGUGACUUGACAGAGGAUGCUACCUAUGGGCUCAACAGUCUCAUCAAUCGGAGGUCACUCAGAAGUCAACACAGACAGACUGUAAAUGCAAACAGCAGUAUAGGCGCUUUCGAUUACAUUGAGGACAGGACCAGUGCACUGAAGAUGUGUACUAAAUAAACCUGCCUUGCUUUUAUAUCAAACAGCGCUUUUUAUGAAGGGAUUUACAGUAUAAGGGAAUUUUCAUCAGAAACCCAACUGUUAGAAAAUAGUGCACUUUGAUUUUUACAUUUCAAACCAAAGCUACUAAGUGUUUUCACCCAUAGCUUAGAGAUAAUAAAGAGCCACAUAUCUUCAGGAAAGUAUUGACAAUAUAAAUAAUGGCACUUUGCUAAAAAGUUCAGAUUAUGUAUUGUUAUUAGAAACAAGGACAACAUACUAACUAUGGGUAAAGGUCUUUUCCUUCCAGCACUUUUAUACAAUGUCAAUUAUAUCAUAAAAGUUUUUAAGAUAUAUUUACCUGCCUUAAUUCUUAAAUUCAAAACUCAAAAAUGAAAGAAGAUAUCAGCAAAAACUGAAAUUGUACUAUUCUUAUGAAUAUUUGCAUUUAUUUGUCUCUUAUUUUUCUGACAACAAAAACAGAAAAGCUGCUGUUUCUCCUGACUGACAUCACCAAGUAGCGGAUUAAUAAUGUUAAAAGUAAUUUUGCAUGUUAUUACAAUGCAUU
rnacentral:lncRNA from 1 species